rnacentral:rRNA from 1 species
UACGGGGGGGGCAAGCGUUGUUCGGAAUUACUGGGCGUAAAGGGCUUGUAGGUGGCCAACUAAGUCAGACGUGAAAUCCCUCAGCUUAACUGGGGAACUGCGUCCGAUACUGGAUGGCUUGAGUUUGGGAGAGGGAUGCGGAAUUCCAGGUGUAGCGGUGAAAUGCGUAGAUAUCUGGAGGAACACCGGUGGCGAAGGCGGCAUCCUGGACCAAUAUUGACGCUGAGGAGCGAAAGCCAGGGGAGCAAACGGG